rnacentral:rRNA from 1 species
UACAGAGGUCUCGAGCGUUGUUCGGAUUCAUUGGGCGUAAAGGGUGCGUAGGCGGCGGGGCAAGUCUGAUGUGAAAUCCCGGGGCUCAACUCCGGAACUGCAUUGGAUACUGCCUUGCUUGAGUACUGGAGAGGAGACUGGAAUUUACGGUGUAGCAGUGAAAUGCGUAGAGAUCGUAAGGAAGACCAGUGGCGAAGGCGAGUCUCUGGACAGUUACUGACGCUGAGGCACGAAGGCCAGGGGAGCAAACGGGG